rnacentral:lncRNA from 1 species
AUGAAUGAUUAUGAUCGAGCUAAAGAUUGGGUCAGACGCAAUGUCACCCGCUACAAUUUCAAAGGAGGUGUCAAUAUCAAGUAUGAUUCAUUACACCUUUCUUUUUUGUUCUUGGUUAAUUUGAUGUGUUUUAUGAUCUAUACUGACGAUCUGCACCACAUUGAGCAUUUGUUGAAGGAGUGGCUGGCUCCUCUUGUGCUCUUCCUGCUUAUUAGUGUUGCUUGUAAAGCAAAUGUGGGAUAUGAUUCCCUUUGACACCUUUCUUUUUUGUUCUUGAUUUGUUUUAUGAUCUAUACUGAUGAUCUGCACCACAUUGAGCAUUUGUUGAAGGAGUGGCUGGCUUCUCUUGUGCUCUUCCUGCUUAUUAGUGUUGCUUGUAAAACAAAUGUGGGAUAUGAUUCCCUUUGCUCUAAAUUGCUUCAAAUGCUUUGUUGUUAGUUAGGAAUAUGUAUUAAAGGAAAUGGCUUUGCAAAUACACUUAGGCAGUAAAGUGAAAAAUGGAUAAAAAAUAUAUUUCCCCUUACAAAGUCGGGUGAGCCUUGAUGCAACAGUAGAGUUGCUCUUUUCUUGGCUCAUAGGUCUGGGGUUUGAGUGCGUCGGAACAAUCUCUUUGUUCUCUCCAUAGGAGGGCGACCCCUGAUGCAACAGUAGAUUUGCUACUUUUGUGGCUCAUAGGUCAGGGGUUCGGGGCACGGAAACAACCUCUUUGUAGAAAUGCAAGAGGAAGGUGGCAUAUGAUGUACGUCCACCUUUCCCCUAUGCUCGCACUAGCCACAAAGCAUUUAUUUCACGAGUUAAGUCCUUUUGACUUUGGAGUGCAUAUUCU